AGUGAACGCUGGCGGUAGGCCUAACACAUGCAAGUCGAACGGCAGCACAGUAAGUGCUUGCUCUUACGGUUGGCGAGUGGCGUACGGGUGAGGUAUACAUCGGAAUCUACUUUUUCGUUGUUGUUCACGUAGGUUAACUUACGCUAAUACCGCAUACCACCUUCUGUUGUAUUCUGUGGUUCUUCUUACCUUUCGCGUUUUAUUUAGCCGAUGUCGGAUUAGCUUGUUGGCGGGGUAAAGGCCCACCAAGGCGACGAUCCGUAGCUUGUCUGAGAGGAUGAUCAGCCACACUGGAAGUGAGACACGGACCAGACUCCUACGGGAGGCAGCAGUGGGGAAUAUUGGACAAUGGGCGGAAGCCUGAUACAGCCAUACCGAGUGGGAGAAGAAGGCCUUCGGGUUGGAAAGCCCUUUUGUUGGGAAAGAAAAGCAGCAGGUUAAUACCCAGCUGUUCUGACGGUACCCAAAGAAUAAGCACCGGCUAACUUCGUG
rnacentral:rRNA from 1 species